GGAGGCCACCAUGGGGUGCCCAGAGGUGACACAGGGGUGGGGACGGAGAAGUGACACGAAGGGAGGACACAGGGAGGUGCCACCAGGGCGGGGAGGUGGCACCAAGCCAACUGGAGGUGGCAAUAUGUCAACUGGAGGUGGCAAGAUGUCAACUGGAAGGGCCACCACGCCAACUGGAGGUGGCAGCAUGCCAAGUGGAGGUGCCACCACGUCAAGUGGAAGCGCCACCAGGGCGUGAGGUGCCCAUGUAUCAACUGGAAGGGCCACCAAGCCAACUGGAGGUGACACCAGGGCUUGGAGGUGGCAGCAUGUCAAGUGGAGGGGCCACCAUGCCAAGUGGAGGGGUCAAUAUGUCAUGUGGAGGGGCCACCACGCCAACUGGAGGUGUCACCAAGCCAACUGGAGGGGCCACCACGCCAAGUGGAGGCCUCCAACCACCGCAGGGCACCAACAGGGGACACGGGGA